rnacentral:rRNA from 1 species
UGCUGGCGACCGGCGCACGGGUGAGUAACACGUAUCCAACCUGCCGAUAACUCGGGGAUAGCCUUUCGAAAGAAAGAUUAAUACCCGAUGGCAUAAUUAGACCGCAUGGUCUUAUUAUUAAAGAAUUUCGGUUAUCGAUGGGGAUGCGUUCCAUUAGGCAGUUGGUGAGGUAACGGCUCACCAAACCUUCGAUGGAUAGGGGUUCUGAGAGGAAGGUCCCCCACAUUGGAACUGAGACACGGUCCAA